UAAAAAAUAGAUUCUUCCAUUAAAGUAUGCAUUGAAACAAUGAUCUUUAUCCGUAUAUAAUUAUAUACUUUAGAAUUUAUCACUUUCUACUAAGUAUCUGUUUGGGAUUCUUUCAUACAGACGCAGUGGUGUAACAUGUUGCAGUAAUUAUUGGUAUAAAAAGGACACCCAUGAAUGUGUUGUUUGCAAUCCAGGAUACUAUGGUAUUGACUGCGCGGACGUGUGUCCAUUUCCACAAUAUGGUUUUCUUUGCACAAAGAAAUGCAACUGUUCUGUAGAAAACUGCAACUAUGCUACUGGAUGCUCUAUGCCAAAAAUUAAAACUAAGGAUACCACGUCAAUUUUUGAGAAAAGUGUCGAAAUUAACCAAAAUCGAUUUUUUGUGAGCGUUCUUGCAUAUGUGUUCGGAGGUGUUCGUUUGGUUUUUGUUCUUUUCUUUAUUUUGAUUGAAUUGCGUGAAAGAAAAAGGAAGAAGCAUCAGUGAACAAGAGAUAUCAACUGAACAUGUACCAGCCUAUCAUGAAAUUAUAAUACGUGAAGAAAAUGGGGUCAUAUUAUCUUAGAAAAUUAACACAUUUCAAUUUAACAUGCAAUAGUAGAUGUGUGAUCUGUGAAUAAAAAUUGAGAAAGAAUGUGUUAAAUUUAAAAUGCAGUGAGAUAAAGGAAAGUAAUGGAACGUUUUCACCAAAAUGUCUCAGAAUUUUACUUAAAUAAAAAAAUCUUCCUAGAAAUACCAGAUAUCGAACAAUGUGCUUACACAUUCAUGAUCACAUAUUUAUGACAGAGGAGACAAAAAUUAAUUCAAGUCAAAAGCUUACUAUGAAAUUUAAAUUUUGUGAAAAUGUUAUUUUGUGAGGAACGCUAACAUGAGCAAUAACCAAAGAGAGUGUUAUUGAUGAAUGAAUUAGAAUAAUAAACAAUGAGUCAAUAUGUGUA